AAACAAGUAGCUCCAAAAUGUUACGUUUCAGUUAUUUUUUGUUAUACAUAUUUUUAACGGUGAAUCAACUGUCUGAAUUUGAUUUUCAAAUGGCAACCUACAUUGAAAAUUUCAUAAAUAGACGGAAUAUUAUUAUAUUUAAAAUAUUCAAAUUUAUUUGGACUUUGACAUGUUUGAUUUGUAACAACUGGUUGACAAUAUAUUACACCUACUUUUAAGUUGGGAUAGGAAAGAGUUAAGGUGCUCCACACUAUACUGUCCAUCUACUCAAACUUAAAAGUGGAAUAUCUUUUAAACGGGUUGACGGAAAUCAAACAUUUAAACACCGAAAAUCAAAGCUACAAAAUUCUGAAAUGGUAAAAAAAAAAAAAAA